rnacentral:lncRNA from 1 species
GUGGACAUCACAAUAUAGCAACUUAUUACAUAAUAAUUAAUUAUGUAAUAAUUAUGUCAUAAUGAAAUUAUCACAAUUUGAAAGGUGAAUCUUUCUUCUUUCUUUCGGUACCUCAUUUAUAAUAUAUAAAGAAGGAUGAAAUGAUUACAUCAGUUUAAAGUUGUCUGAUUGGGAGUGAACAAAUCUUUGUAUUGUGCUACCUUAAAAAACCUUUUUUUGUUUGAAAAGCAAAUAAGAAAUUACACUUCACACUCUCGGCACACAUUUCGUGACACUGAUUAUAUUAUGGAAUAUUUCCAUACACAAAUAUUUAUUUAAACAAUUACUGGGGAUUCAUUAUUUUAGUGGUUAAUUACCAAAUUCUGUUGCUACAUGUAUGUGAAAAAUAUGAGUUCACUGGGUAUUGGAUUUGACAGUUUCACUAAUUUUCAUAGAAACCUUCAAUAAAGUUGUACUUAGCUGAAAACUUUUAAAAUACUCAUGAAAUCAACUGAAAAUAGGUACCCCACAAGGUACCCCACAAGGUACCCCACAAGUAAUAUUGAAUUCACAGUACUGUAUAUUCUGCAUUAUUACAUGCAUUUACUAUGGUGGUUUUGUCAUUUAGACUAAAAUGGG